rnacentral:lncRNA from 1 species
AGCAUCAGAUUUCGUUAUGGAUGCUUGUAAGGCACCAUGUGGUUGCUGGGAUUUGAACUCAGGACCUUUGGAAGAGCAGUCGGUGAUCUUAACCGCUGACCCAUCUCACCAGCCCCUAGACAGUGUUUCAUAAAGCCCAAGAUUACCUUGGCUUCACUGUGUGUCCAAGAAUGUGCUUGGAUUUCUGAUGUGUCUGCUUCUAACUUCUGAGUGAUGAUAGAGGGAGGCAGAAGAAAAAGAAGAGAAAAGAAUGGGGGAAGAGAGAUCACAGCACACAGCAAAAGGAAAGAAGGAAACUGGGUGAAAGGAGGAGAUGAGAGGAGGAAGAGGGCCCAGCAGCUGGAAGGCCCACACCCUACAGCUCUGUGGCUGACACCCACUCAGUUGGGCAAGAUAUGGUAAGGAACUCCCAACAGUGGGAGUGAAUGUCGGGGCUGGGAGAGGUGGGACUUGAGGCAAGGAGUCCCUAGGAUGGGCACAGAUCCCAGACACACAAGCAUUCUUCUCCUCUGCUCCUGACUUCCAGGAACUGGGAGGGCUUGGAUCCUAAUGCUGCCAAUGGGUCUUCCCUGAGCUAUUCCUCCCACACACAGCAAAUUCCAGGAAAUACCUAGACCUUUAAGAUUCCUUUUCUAUUGGGAAACCACCCAAUGGAAGUAGUUUGCUUCAUGUCUCUAGAAGGUAGCAAUCCCACACAGACACCCCAGUGCUUAUACUCUCCGGGGGGUUCUAUCACCUCCAUCCUUCUCACUGGAGGAAUAAAGAAAAAACAAGAGGUAAUAAAGAAGUCAGUAAACGUUUUCAUAGUUUUCUGUCCCUGCUUAAACAAGCAAAGAACUGAGGCCCAAGAAAUGUAAUACCCUAGCCAGAAAGAUGCAGCAAGGAUGUGGGCUAGUUGAGCCAGGUGACCAAAUAUGUGUUCUGAAUUAGGUCUCUUUUUAUGUUAGGAGGCUGGGACCUGUGGUGAGAGAAGAGGGGAUAGGACCUGGAUUCAUGAUCUGAGGAAGAAGGCUGGGACCUGGAUAUUUGAAUCUGAAAGAGGGAGGGCUGGGUCUGGAUCUAAAUAUGAGGGAGGAGGCUGGAGCCUGGAUACUUGAGUCUGAGAGGGCAUAGAUGGAAUCUAGAUUCUUGGGUCUGAGGGUAGAGCAUGGGUUCUAGACUCCUGGAUCUGAGGGGGAAGGGUAGGGAUAUGGACCCCUGGGUCUGAGACAAGAGGACUGUGUUCUGAAGCUUUGAAUCCAAGGGAAUAGGACUAGAGCUUGAAACUCCAUGUUUGUGGGAGAAAAACUAGGGUUUAUACUUCAGGCCUAAAGGAGGAAGGUCUUUAUACUAGAAAGUAUGGAAACCCUGGCACAUU